CCAGACUCCUACGGGAGGCAGCAGUGGGGGAUAUUGCACAAUGGGGGGAACCCUGAUGCAGCGACGCCGCGUGGGUGAAGGAGCGUUUCGGCGCGUAAAGCCCUAUCGGCAGGGAAGAAGGAGGACGGUACCUGACUAAGAAGCCCCGGCUAACUACGUGCCAGCAGCCGCGGUAAUACGUAGGGGGCAAGCGUUAUCCGGAUUUACUGGGUGUAAAGGGGGCGCAGACGGCAGCGCAAGUCCGGAGUGAAAGCCCGGGGCUCAACCCUGGGACUGCUCUGGAAACUGUAAAGCCGGAGUGCGGGAGGGGCAGGCGGAAUUCCUGGCGUAGCGGUGAAAUGCGUAGAUAUCAGGAGGAACACCGGCGGCGAAGGCGGCCUGCUGGACCGUAACUGACGUUGAGGCUCGAAAGCGUGGGGAGCAAACAGGAUUAGAUACCCUAGUA
rnacentral:rRNA from 1 species